rnacentral:rRNA from 1 species
ACGCUGGCGGCGUGCUUAACACAUGCAAGUCGAGCGAUGAAACUUCCUUCGGGAAGUGGAUUAGCGGCGGACGGGUGAGUAACACGUGGGUAACCUGCCUCAAAGUGGGGGAUAGCCUUCCGAAAGGGAGAUUAAUACCGCAUAAUAUAAGAGAAUCGCAUGAUUUUCUUAUCAAAGAUUUAUUGCUUUGAGAUGGACCCGCGGCGCAUUAGCUAGUUGGUAAGGUAACGGCUUACCAAGGCAACGAUGCGUAGC